rnacentral:rRNA from 1 species
AGAGUGAACGCUGGCGGUAGGCCUAACACAUGCAAGUCGAACGGCAGCACAGUAGGAGCUUGCUCUUACGGGUGGCGAGUGGCGGACGGGUGAGGAAUACAUCGGAAUCUACCUUUUGGUGGGGGAUAACGUAGGGAAACUUACGCUAAUACCGCAUACGCCCUUCGGGGGAAAGCCGGGGACCAGCAAUGGCCUGGUGCUGAUAGAUGAGCCGAUGUCGGAUUAGCUAGUUGGUGAGGCAAUGGCUCACCAAGGCGACGAUCCGUAGCUGGUCUGAGAGGAUGAUCAGCCACACUGGAACUGAGACACGGUCCAGACUCCUACGGGA